rnacentral:hammerhead_ribozyme from 1 species
AUCCAGCUGACGGGCCCCAAAUAGGACGAAACACGUAUCCUGGAU